rnacentral:rRNA from 1 species
AGUGAACGCUGGCGGCAGGCCUAACACAUGCAAGUCGAGCGGCAGCGGGUCCUUCGGGAUGCCGGCGAGCGGCGGACGGGUGAGGAAUACAUCGGAAUCUGCCCUGUCGUGGGGGAUAACCUAGGGAAACUUAGGCUAAUACCGCAUACGACCUACGGGUGAAAGCGGGGGAUCGCAAGACCUCGCGCGACAGGAUGAGCCGAUGUCCGAUUAGCUAGUUGGCGGGGUAAAGGCCCACCAAGGCGACGAUCGGUAGCUGGUCUGAGAGGAUGAUCAGCCACACUGGGACUGAGACACGGCCCAGACUCCUACGGGAGGCAGCAGUGGGGAAUAUUGGACAAUGGGCGCAAGCCUGAUCCAGCCAUGCCGCGUGGGUGAAGAAGGCCUUCGGGUUGUAAAGCCCUUUUGUCCGGGAAGAAAACGUCUGGGCUAAUACCCCGGGCGGAUGACGGUACCGGAAGAAUAAGCACCGGCUAACUUCGUG